GAGGGUUUCAAGGAGGUAGCGGUCAAAUGUGUCUAGUACAAAUUAGAGGUCAAGGGAGAUAGUGAUUGAAAGUUUCCUUUGGAUUUUAUGAAAAGGGCGGCGUUGUUUAUCUUGGCUACGGCAGUUUAAGUGGAGCAGUGGUGAGGCCAGAUUUCAUUGAGCUGAUCAAUGAAGGCUCUCGCCUUUGCUGGAUGGGUAGCCAAGGGUUAGGGCACAGCCUGUGGCCUCCAAACAGAAGACAAGGAGAUGAGGGCCCGGCUCACAUUCACCUAGUGCUCUAACUGGCUGUGCAAACCAGCCGCAGACAGCAGGCAGCACUUUAUGCAGAGGGAAGACCGUGUGGAGACACUGGAGAAAAAUGGCCAUCUAUAAGCCAAGGAGAGAGGCCUUAGAAGAAACCACCUCACCUUAAUCUUGGACUUCUAGCAUCUGAAAUUGUUGGAUGGGCGCUCAAAGAGCUCUGGCUGAGGCAGUAGCUACGCUUCACUCUGUACGGUGGCUUUGGAAGUGAGCUUCCCGGUUUUUCUGCCUUGCAUUGGCACUUCUAUAUUACAGACUCACCGCAGGACAUCACGUGACGGCUGGCAGCCCUUGCCAGACCCAGCUUGGGUUUUAGUGGAACCAACUGGGAGACUGAGCUCAAGGAGUCGCUACCACCCGGGCUCGUUUAGCUGGAUGGGGCAUGGCUGCUGCACACAGAACAAGAAUGAAGGACAAUACCUGUUCCUGAGGAUGCGAUGCUUACCCAAGAAGAUGUUGAACAUGAGGGAUGCUUUGUGACCAAGAAAUUACAGUCUUCUGAGAGGACUCUGGCAGAGAGCCCUGUAUGGAGGAGGAGGUGCUCCUUGGGAGACCCCUUUGAAGAGUAAGAAGGGAGUGGAGGGUUUGAGGAGGGCUGAGCAGGUGAGAGCCGGCCAGAGGAGACUUGCUGAGCUGGUACACAUCAUGGGAGGAAGACGAGGAAAACCAGGCUGCAAUAAGGUGAGCCUCUGAAAGCCAUUUGUCAGGCUUUUCCCCAAGGAGGGACUGUGCCCUGAGAGGUGGACUAAUAGGGGUACUUUAGGUUUAAUGGAGGACCUUUCAAGGACCUCUUGAUGUGCUGCGUCUCUCCAUCUCAUCAGCGAUUCUUCUGUGCCCAAGACACCCUGAGAGACACUGGAGUUAUGAAAAAGUAUGCACUAUCUCCACCUUCAUAGAGCCGACAAUACCUCUGAGGGGACCAGACCUUCACAAAGACAUGCACAAUCUUAUUUGUUUAGCGAUGGAACUUUGUGGAAACAUGGCUAACGCAGCACAGUGUAUGCUAUGUAGAGGAUGAAUCAGACCGCCAAAACCAUAGUCUGAUUCACUACUUGACAAUCUUUUUCUCGAAUAAUGAGCUAUUUUUCAAAUGUAAAUGAAUUUAAAAUUUCUCUGAAAUGACCAAAGACCCCUUUUUGUUUUCAAAAGGGAAAUGUACAGUAUACCCAGGGAGCUGGCUUCCCAGUUUCUUUUCUCUCUGCUCAUAAAGGCAACAGUGGAAUAAGGCUUCAGAGGGGCUCUGUGCUCCGGAUGCCACAUGAUAUGGGCAGCAGGUUCCACACUGACCUCUUGGGCAGACGAAGUGGAGCUGGCUGAACAUUUCUCGCUGUGCCU
ensembl:lncRNA